GGCGCCAUGGCUUAGUAGUAAAGCGCCUGUCUAGUCAACAGGAGAUCCUGGGUUCGAUCUCCAGUGGUGCCU
rnacentral:tRNA from 1 species